rnacentral:lncRNA from 1 species
UCCAUAAACAUUCAAUACACACAUUCAAAAUGCAAUGCAUUUACCUUGACCAUGAUUCACACUUAAUUUUUUCUUCCCAUAUUGAACAAUAUCACAUUUGGGUUUAAGUUAACAAUCCAAUUCAACUUUUGAUAUCCAAUGUUCAUUGUAACUUUCAUUUCAUAAUCCAUACAUAUUUAAUCUCAUUUAUAAUACAAAUGUCCUAUACUAAUAUCAAUUAUAAUUUCUACAAUUUGAUCAAACAAAUCCUCAAACCAAAAUCCGAUUCCAAUUAACUCUCGCUAACUAACCCAUAUCUCACCUUCACUCAUUUCUGACCUGCAAAGCUAAUCCAGUAAUAAUAACUUCGUAAAUCGAUUCCAUAUAGGCCAUGUUGACAGCAACACGAUCAUUUUCGAAGCUCUUGCUUAACACUUGGUUUCGAUCACUCGUCCACUUGCAUGAUACAUUCACUUUGAAACCUGCAAAUUGACACCACAAGGCAUAAACAAGCAGCAGCAACAAAAGAAGUUUUAGUUUGAACUGCAACUCAUAACCGUCCAAAUCGACCACAUCAUGCGCCAAUUGCUGCAAGUGGAAACCAGACAACCCAAUUGCAGCAUUCACGAUCCAUCAACAAUGCAACAACAGCAAAGAGUAUGUCAAUAAGUGCCCAUAACAUAAAUUUCAAUGUGACAAAAUUUCAUUUAAUUAAAUCACGAUCUAAUUAACUAACAUUCUAACUCGAAUUAUCCUAACAACCAACAGGGCAAAAUGUCACCAUUUUUCAUUUUAACAAAACUUCAUCUUAACUGAAUCUAAAACUAACCAUAACUAACUUUAAGGUUAACAUAGGUGAUAACUAACUCUUUAAGAGCAUAAUAGAUAUCUACAAACAGUAAUGCUUUUUUUCAGUUAACAGGAAUUUCGAAGAAAUUAACCUAACAGAAUAAUAGUAGUGCAUAGUCAUUAAUAGAAUUCUCAUUAACAGGACCAUUGAUUAAUAUGCUCCAAUUAACAACACAAACAAACUCCACAAUUGGUAACCGAAUUCACAAACGCCAAAUCUACCAUCCUACAAAGCCAAGCAAUAAUUUUCAGCACGCAAUAGCUAACAUGGCCAUACAAUAACGAGAGAUCAAAACUCACAUUCAUACUAACAAUAUACAUUGCAUCCUUACCAUACUUGGAGUUGGACUUACACAUGAUGCGAAUGGAAACAAACUCUACAAACUGAUGACAUAAUAGUCGUUGAUGAUAUGUAGGUUGGUGAGUGUCAAGAUGCAAUCAAACGAUUUGUGCUUGGCAUUUCCGCAAUCAAACGAGCGGCUGAAACAGCCAGGAACCAUAAUGCAACUGGUGUUGUUUUCUAUAUCGACUUUCAGCUUAACCCAAUUACUAUGUAAACACCCGGCAAAAUCUCAGAGAAAAACCUGUUUAGUCAAUCAACUUCAAGUCAUUACUGACAUAACAAUGGCAGAAUUGGCAGUGUGAGUAAUGGUGUAAAACAAAUUGAUUUCACUAACAGAAAAUCACACAUAAAAUCAUCCCAACAACUAACAUGGCUGCCCGAAUAUUCAUUUUAGUAAUUUAACACAACUAAGCAAGGAGUUAACAGUAGAACUUGGGGUCUCAUAAGACAGUUCAUUGGAAAUCUUCAUGUCAUUUGAUUUUCCAUUUAACUAAUUCACUCAACACUAACUAAUUAAUUCUUACUGGAAGUAUAGAGUGCAGGGCAAACGCAAAUGAAUUCAGGACAAAUUCUAACAGAAUUGGUAACCUCUAACAGAAUUUUCUAACAGUAACUAACUUAACUCAGUUAAUAUAACAGAACCUGAUAACUUCCAACUGAAAUUCAUCUUCAUUUCUAACUAAAUUCCACAUUUCAAGGUAAUUUAACUUGCAUAUCAUAACAAAAUUGAGAAGAGAGGUUAUAUAAGUAGAUCUUCACUCACCUUACGAUGCAAAAAAGCUCGAAUCUCAUUUCCUCUUCACUUUCUAUUCACUUUUCGAUCAUUCUUUUUCAUCUCCACGCUCCAAACAGAACCUUCAAUCUUCUUCUCUGCUUCACCUUCAUCCUUCCUCAUCGGUCUGCAAUUGAGAAGGCUCUCUCUGCUUCACCUUCAUUGUCAUCACGAGUCUUCUUCAACUGCUUCUUCAUUCUUCUGCAGCAGCGCCUUCAUCACUGUUUCUGCAACAGAGGUGAAUCGCCAUCAGAAUCGAUUAACAACCACCAGUUCAUAAUGAAUCACACGAAGGGAUAAGAAGGUAAGGACAUCUGAAUCGGUGAGAAGCGGAAGUCGUACCUGUUCGCAAAUCGCAUCGGUCUGGUGAGUUUUUGUUUUCGAUUCCGUAUCUCCUUGGCUUCAUAGGCCCAACUACGGUUUGGGCAUCCUCUUACCCCUUACGGCGGGCUUACACCCCUACCCGAGGGAGGCCC